rnacentral:sRNA from 1 species
UACGGUGUUGGCACAUAGGCUUUGUU